rnacentral:rRNA from 1 species
UACGUAGGGUGCGAGCGUUAAUCGGAAUUACUGGGCGUAAAGCGUGCGCAGGCGGUUUUGUAAGCCAGAUGUGAAAUCCCCGGGCUUAACCUGGGAAUGGCAUUUGGGACUGCAAGGCUCGAGUGCGGCAGAGGAGACUGGAAUUCCUGGUGUAGCAGUGAAAUGCGUAGAUAUCAGGAGGAACACCAAUUGCGAAGGCAGCUGGCUACACGAAUAUUGACACUGAUGCACGAAAGCGUGGGGAUCAAACAGG